UACGUAGGGUGCAAGCGUUAAUCGGAAUUACUGGGCGUAAAGUGUGCGCAGGUGGCCGCGCAAGUCGAGUGUGAAAUCCCCGAGCUUAACUUGGGAAUUGCGCUCGAAACUACGUGGCUCGAGUGUGGCAGAGGAAGGUGGAAUUCCACGUGUAGCGGUGAAAUGCAUAGAGAUGUGGAGGAACACCGAUGGCGAAGGCAGCCUUCUGGGCCAACACUGACGCUCAUGCACGAAAGCGUGGGGAGCAAACAGG
rnacentral:rRNA from 1 species